GGGGGGAUCUUGGUCAAUGGGGGAAACCCUGAACCAGCGACGCCGCGUGAGGGAAGAAGGCCCUUGGGUCGUAAACCUCUUUUGCCAGGGAAGAAGGCGAGCCUUGUAACAGAGGCUUGCUUGACGGUACCUGGCGAAUAAGCCCCGGCUAACUACGUGCCAGCAGCCGCGGUAAUACGUAGGGGGCGAGCGUUGUCCGGAUUUACUGGGCGUAAAGAGCGCGUAGGCGGUCUGAAGAGUCGGCUGUGAAAUCUCCGAGCCCAACUCGGAGGGGUCGGCCGAGACCUUUGGACUUGAGGGUGGUAGAGGAAGGUGGAAUUCCGGGUGUAGUGGUGAAAUGCGUAGAGAUCCGGAGGAACACCAGUGGCGAAGGCGGCCUUCUGGGCCAUACCUGACGCUGAGGCGCGAAAGCGUGGGGAGCGAACCGA
rnacentral:rRNA from 1 species